rnacentral:rRNA from 1 species
UGGGGAAUAUUGGACAAUGGGCGCAAGCCUGAUCCAGCAAUGCCGCGUGGAUGAAGAAGGUCUUCGGAUUGUAAAGUCCUUUCGGCGGGGACGAUGAUGACGGUACCCGCAGAAGAAGCCCGGCUAACAUUCGUGCCAGCAGCCGCGGUAAUACGAAGGGGGCGUAGCGUUGCUCGGAAUGACUGGGCGUAAAGGGCGCGUAGGCGGUCUGGUUCGUCAGGCGUGAAAUUCCUGGGCUUAACCUGGGACGUGCGCUUGAAACAUCUGGGCUUGAGUGUGGAAGAGGGUCGUGGAAUUCCCAGUGUAGAGGUGAAAUUCGUAGAUAUUGGGAAGAACACCGGUGGCGAAGGCGGCGACCUGGUCCAUUUACUUGACGCUGAGGCGCGAAAGCGUGGGGAGCAAACA